GACAGAGGGCACCGAGAGCGCCCCCUAGAGCGUCGCCCUCUUCCGGGAAGCGGCUUCCGGCCAUGGCAGCGCAGCUGAGGCUCCGUGGGGCGCUGGCGCUGGUCACCGGGGCCGGCAGCGGCAUCGGGCGGGCGGUGAGCCUGCGCCUGGCCCGCGAAGGCGCCUCGGUGGCGGCGGCGGACGUGGACGAGGCCGGGGCGGCGGAGACGCUGCGGGCGCUGCCGCCGCCGGGGGACCACCAGGCCGCGCGGGUGGACGUGGGCUGCGCGCGGAGCGUGGAGGAGCUCCUGCGGACGGUGCAGGCGCGCUUCGCCCGCCCGCCCACGGUCUGCGUGAACUGCGCGGGGAUCACGCGGGACGAGUUCCUGCUGCGGCAGAGCGAAGCCGCCUUCGAGGCCGUCCUGAGGGUCAACCUGAAGGGGGCCUUCCUGGUGACCCAGGCCGUGGCAAAGGCGCUGGUGGAGAGCGGGGCCACGGGGGGCUCCAUCGUCCACCUGGGCAGCGUGGUGGGGAAGCCAGGUGGGGAAUCUGGGCCAGGUGAACUACGCGGCUUCCAAGGCGGGGGUGGAGGCGCUGGCCAAGACGGCAGCCAAGGAGCUGGCCAGGUACGGCAUCCGCUGCAACACCGUUCUGCCGGGUUUCAUCCGCACCCCCAUGACGGACAAGGUCCCCACCAAAGUCCUGGAUAAGUUCGCUGCGAUGGUGCCGAUGGGACGCCUGGGGGAGCCCGAAGAUGUGGCCGACGUCUGUGCCUUCCUCGCUUCGGACGAGAGCCGGUAUAUCACCGGUGCCAGUCUGGAAGUGACAGGGGGCCUCUUCAUCUGAGCCUCUGCCGCCCCCUGCUGGGGAGACCCUCACGGACACGCUUCCAGGAAGGACUCUGCCCUCCACGGACGGACCUGGUGCUCGGCCGAUGCCCGUUCCCUGCCAGGGGGCCAUAGGGGAUGAGCCCUGGACUUGUACGGAAGGGAGGGGGGCUCUUCCGGCCCAGGCUCGACCCCCCCCCCUCCCCGCAGCAGAGAGCUGCAAUUGCUGUUUCAGGCUGGUGGUGGCUAGGAGUUGUUUUAUAAUUCACCUGUGGAUAAACGGAGCGAUCGAUUGAGUAAAGGUGCUUUUUUAAAGACUUA